ensembl:lncRNA
CACUACACUGAGAUCCAGCUGUAGAGGAGACACAGUGCAUCAACAGCACUACACUGAGAUCCAGCUGUACAAGAGAGAACCCUCUGAGCAUCAUCACUACGGCCUCAUACUCCAGGCUCAGAGGGCAGCAUCCCAAACGUGGGCGACCGUCUCAAUGCAUUCCUCCUCAAAAUGAGAAGAAUGACUGGAAUUCUGCCAAGCUCUCCAUUAUCCAUAGGCUACUCCACACACACACCCACAAGCAUACGGCCGAACACACACACACAUACGCACACAAACACACACACACACACACACACACACACACAGACACACCCGCACCCAUACACAAACACGCACACACACACACACACACACACACACACACACACACACACACACACACCCGCACACACACACGCACACACACACACACACACACACACACACACACACACACACACACACACACACACACACACACACACACACACACACACACACACGCCGGAUGAGCACUUAGAAAAGUUGGAAGGCUAAAUAUUAUCAGCAGUGUGGUCCCCCCUGCCAGCACCUAACAAUCCUUUAGAGGUCUUUCUGUGAUCAAUAGCUGGAUUAAUUGCGGAAAGACGGGACCAGAGGAGGGGAGGGGGAGCCCUCGGGCAGGGGAGGGCUCUAGCCUAGGGGAGGGGAGGAGGGGAGGGGUGCAUGGUGCUGACAGGCAGGGAAAGCUAAAGGCGGAUUUAAAAGGAAAGCUCAGAGAGAAAGAGAGAGAGCAAGACUGUGUGUGUGUGUGUGUGUGUGUGUGUGUGUGUGUGUGUGUGUGUGUGUGUGUGUGUGUGUGUGUGUGUGUGUGUGUGUGUGUGUGUGUGUGUGUGUGUGUGUGUGUGUGUGUGUGUGUGUGUGUGUGUGGAGGGGGGCAGACCGAGAGUAGCAGAAAGAGAGGGAGGGAAAGGGAGAGAGAGAGAGAGAGAGAGAGAGAGAGAGAGAGAGAGAGAGAGAGAGAGAGAGAGAGAGAGAGAGAGAGAGAGGGAGGUCACCUGGUAGUGUGCAGGGCGGUGGGCCGUCAGAUUAGGAUCUGAGAGGGGAGAUAACGAGUUUAUUGCCCCCUGGACGGGGCUGCUGGGGGGCUGGCCAAGCAGGCCAGGGGUUUGGUGAGGGGGAGUAGGGAGGGGCGGAGGGGGGGGUGGUCCUGAAUGGUGUGUUGGAGGGUGUUUGUGUUUGUUUUAACCUGGGAGAUGCAGUCAGGCAGGCCCCUCCCCUCCCUAUGGUUAGAAUACCAACCUCUCCACUCAGAACCCCUCCACCCCUUUACGACAGCUAAUCCGUCACAGCACACAACACACACACACACACACACACACACACACACACACACACACACACACACACACACACACACACACACACACACACACACACACACACAGCUAUGUGAAUGGUAUUGCGUCCUGGAGGCAUGUAUUAUCAAGCACUCCCAGUGUAAUUGAUAUUGUAAAUAACGGUUGUUGUCGUUAUUAUUAUUAUUAUUAUUGUUGAAACACAGCCAUUGAUCAGCAAGAGGGUGCAGCUUGAGCCUCCACGUCUGCCUCCACCCUAGUCUCCGUGUCUCCAUGUUUACCUCCACCUCCGCCUCCACUUAUACCGCCACCUCCACCAAUUCAUAUGUUGAGUUUGUUUUUGUCCCCACAAACACACACACACAUGCACACACGCACAAACACACACAAACACACAGACACACACACACACACACACACAGGUGUGAUCUGUGGUUCAGUCCCCCUUGAAUUCUGUGCACGUACCCGUGAGGCAGUAUUAGCUUUGCGUGUCUGGGCUGCGACUCCUUGGAACAGAUAAGGGGGAGCGGAUAUGAGAAAUAUGAAAAAUAGGGCUGUGAUAGGAUGAUCAGUGAGCGCUACACUGGGCCGCGCUGACAAACGGCACCGAGAGGCAAAGAGGAGGAAAAAAAAAUAAAACGCAUUAAAUCUGUGGACUGGAGUGAUAUUUUUGCAGCGAGCGCAGUGGGGUACACAAUUAUAUAUCUUAGAGGGACUCAGUGACACAUCAGUCAUUUAACAUAUAUUUUAUAUCGCUGUUUAUUAUUCCUCCUCUGUGAGGAGUGAAAGUCCAACAACGGCAAAUGCAGAACACAACUUAAGGAAGAAGAGGGCACCAUUCCUUCGAACUGUAUGCAAUAUAGUAAAAAUACUAAAUUAAAUAAAAACUUUAACUUGACUUGGCAUCUCCACCGAGGCGGAUGAGAUUAGGAGGUGGGGACAGGAGCAGGAGCAACCAUUGUGGGGAUGAAGGAGAAGCAUUAGGAGAGAGAGAGAGAGAGAGAGAGAGAGAGAGAGAGAGAGAGAGAGAGAGAGAGAGAGAGAGAGAGAGAGAGAGAGAGAGAGAGAGAGAGGGGGAGAGAGAGAGAACGUGUGCUUUUGUUUCUCCCCAACACAGACACUCUAAAGAGGGGCUUCUGGGGGCCUGCAGAGCGGCACGUGAGCAGCCCUCUGUCAGCUGUGUUUGCACGCAGGCAGGCGAGGGG